rnacentral:rRNA from 1 species
AACGAACGCUGGCGGCAUGCCUAACACAUGCCAGUCGAACGAGACCUUCGGGUCUAGUGGCGCACGGGUGCGUAACGCGUGGGAACCUGCCCUUAGGUUCGGAAUAACUCCCCGAAAGGGGUGCUAAUACCGGAUAAUGUCUUCGGACCAAAGAUUUAUCGCCUUUGGAUGGGCCCGCGUUGGAUUAGCUAGUUGGUAGGGUAAAAGCCUACCAAGGCGACGAUCCAUAGCUGGUCUGAGAGGAUGAUCAGCCACACUGGGACUGAGACACGGCCCAGACUCCUACGGGAGGCAGCAGUGGGGAAUAUUGGACAAUGGCGAAAGCCUGAUCCAGCAAUGCCGCGUGAGUGAUGAAGGCCUUAGGGUUGUAAAGCUCUUUUACCCGGGAUGAUAAUGACAGUACCGGGAGAAUAAGCUCCGGCUAACUCCGUG